AUCAUUUAACAUGCUCAAAGAAUAGCUCAUCCUUCUUUCCUAGCAAUCCUCUCUCCCCUCUUUCCAAUAUCCUGGUUUACUUUGAUCUCAGCAUUAUCAUUCCGGUUAGCAAGGCCCGAGGUCUUUAUGGAUGAAAAAAAACUGGAGAAUAUAGUCAGUGGACAACCAUCAGUCAUAUAUGGAAACUCAUAGAAAACAGACGAGGUACUUCUGGACUAGAGAAGUGCAGACGUCCCAUUUCUUUUAAAUGAAGUAAAUAGAAUCUUAAGAAGGAAUCACUGAAGCUGAGCAUGGUGCUCUGCACAUGUAAUCCUUUCUCCUAUGGAAACUAAAGGAGGUGAAUAACUACCUCAGGAGUUCUGAGCUUCGAUGAUAGCUUUCUUUGAUGGGAAAGAAAACUGAGGAAAAGCUGACUGCAUGGAGGAAUCAAUGCAAAAUGGAAGCAUGGAAAUUUGAAGCCAUUAUUCACUUGGGGCUAGUGCCCUACUCAUGGGAAUGACCAAUACACACUCUUUGAUGAUGAGCAGAAGGAGGAUGACAAUAAUGGUCUAUCUCAGGAAUAGCUAUUGAGAAGGAAGGAGGUGGCAUAUAUAUAAUGGAUCUGAAGGCCUUCAGAACAAAGAUCCUGAAAACACAGCUUUUAAUAGCAUUGCUGGAAUGGAGUGUUUUAUACCAGGAACAUGAAGGAGAUCAAAUACAAAGCAACUUGGAAUAAAAGGGGAUUGAACUAUC